rnacentral:rRNA from 1 species
GAUGAACGCUGGCGGCGUGCCUAAUACAUGCAAGUCGAGCGAACAGAUAAGGAGCUUGCUCCUUUGACGUUAGCGGCGGACGGGUGAGUAACACGUGGGUAACCUACCUAUAAGACUGGAAUAACUCCGGGAAACCGGGGCUAAUGCAGGAUAACAUGUUGAACCGCAUGGUUCUACGGUGAAAGGCGGCUUUGCUGUCACUUAUAGAUGGACCCGCGCCGUAUUAGCUAGUUGGUGAGGUAACGGCUCACCAAGGCAACGAUACGUAGCCGACCUGAGAGGGUGAUCGGCCACACUGGAACUGAGACACGGUCCAGACUCCUACGGGAGGCAGCAGUAGGGAAUCUUCCGCAAUGGGCGAAAGCCUGACGGAGCAACGCCGCGUGAGUGAUGAAGGUCUUCGGAUCGUAAAACUCUGUUAUUAGGGAAGAACAAAUGCGUAAGUAACUGUGCGCGUCUUGACGGUACCUAAUCAGAAAGCCACGGCUAACUACGUG